rnacentral:lncRNA from 1 species
UGUGUACAGAUAUACUGUGCGCUUGAUGUUAGCCUGCUUUCCAUAGAACCUCAAUCGGACAAGAAAGAUCUUAGUUUUCAGCCACUGAGUUCAACAUCAACGUCUACCACAAACUCAGAAGAAGAGGAAUGUGAAAUGCAUUGGAAACAGAAAAAAUGGAUUGUCAACGAGCCCAAUGUCAUGGAGCUGUUCAAAAGAUGUCAAGAAUGUGGAUCAGUAAUAACAAAGACCGCAAAAGCAACAGUGGGAAGUGUUCUCCGUGUUCACUGGGAAUGUGAAAAAAAACACAAAGGAAAGUGGAGUUCAUGCAGUGAUGUUAGGGGAAUGCCAGCUAAUAAUCUUCUUGUUUCUGCAUGCACGUUCUGGACAAAGGACUUGAAAAGGAUUUGAGGCAAAUGGCUCUUUUCAAACACACUGGACAACUGGAGGUGUUUCAUUCUGUCCUACUGAAAUACUGCCCAAAGAACCUGCAUUUUCAUUAUACGUCCAUGGUUGCACGAACACAACUCACUAUCCUUGACCAUAAUGAAAAUGUAGGUCGUCAGCAAGCAACAACCACUACUGGUGCAUCUCGGUACAAAGUGGUUUUCCCCAAACAUACCAAAGAAUGGGUAGCCAAAACGAUUUUUACACAAACCACUCAAAAAUUCAGAGAGUCUCUGGUUGAGAAAGUUGUACAGCGGCGGCUGGACACCAACGUUGUUUAAAGGAAAGUUCUUGUCGUUUGACUCAUCAUCACCCAUUGCCACAGAACAUAGCCCUAACACCAAGGCCUGACAAGCAAGAAGUAAUUGCAAAGCGUUUAUCACGAUUUGGACACUAAUUUGCUUUAAAAAAUGUUGAAGUCUUUUAUAGGUUUUUUUUUUUUUAAAUUUAAAUUUUUUUUUUUAUUUAUAGUUUUUCUUGUAUUUUUUUCUUUUAUUGUAGGUAAAAACUAAGAAAACAACUGUUGUUGUAAACAAACAAAAUAAUUUAUGGUGUUAGUGUG